UACGGAGGGUGCGAGCGUUAAUCGGAAUUACUGGGCAUAAAGGGUGCGUAGGUGGUUUGUCGCGUCGGGAGUGAAAACACUGGGCUUAACCCAGUGCUUGCUUUCGAUACGGGCAGACUAGAGGUAUGCAGGGGAGAACGGAAUUCCUGGUGUAGCGGUGAAAUGCGCAGAUAUCAGGAGGAACACCGGUGGCGAAGGCGGUUCUCUGGGCAUGAUCUGACGCUGAGGAGCGAAAGUGUGGGGAGCGAACAGG
rnacentral:rRNA from 1 species